rnacentral:rRNA from 1 species
CUGCAACUACGCCUGCAUGAAGUCGGAAUUGCUGUAAUCGCAGAUCAGCAUGCUGCGGUGAAUACGUUCCCGGGCCUUGUACACACCGCCCGUCACACCAUGGGAGUCGGUAACACCCGAAGUCGGUAGCCUAACCGUAAGGAGGGCGCCGCCGAAGGUGGGAUUGAUGACUGGGGUGAAGUCGUAACAAGGUAGC